GCCGCCCGGCCCCGCGCCCGCCCGCCUGGACCUCUUGUGAGGUUUCAGCCAUUCCGUGUUAGUGCUACAGAACAUGGUUUAGUAUCUGCAGGUUAGCUGUUCCUCCGCACGAUGCCAAGGCUUCCCACAGCUGCAGCUUUCCGAAAUGGUGGCUCCCUGCCAUCACAGACAGGGCCGCUCGCGGCUGGGGGAGGGUAGAUGCUGUGUAACAACAGUGCUGGGUGGAAAUAUUUAAUGACUCCAAAUGUUUAAGACCCAUGAGAGCAAUUGCGUAGUGGAGAGCGCAGAGCUGCUCUCCUCUUGCACGUGCUUUAUGCUGCUGGACAUCUAGAAAUCCUGGGCAAGUGGAGAAAAGAGCAAUAAGUUAGUUGAUGAGGCAUAAAAGUGCAGAGAAAAAGAGACAGUAGCUCCAUCCUGCUCUCUGUAACUGACUAAGACAAAGGGGAGGAGAUACAGCCCAAAAUGUGCUUCCCCACAGACACAUGUUUGCCUCAUCCUGGAUGUGAAGAUCCCUCCGUAGUUCCACCCAGUGGUUAUCAUCUGCCUGAAAUCUUUAGGUAUUCCCAGGACACCUAAGAUGUAAUGAUGAACCUGGAAGUACAGUGGAAGGAAGAGAAGGUGAUGCUACUUCCAUAGUUGGCUUUUCAGGAUAAGUUGUCUCAAAGGAACCAUCCCGCUUCUUGAGAGGCUGAAAACUUCAAAGAUGAUGGCACAGACAUGGACCUGUCAUGUCAUAAGUUCAACACUCAGAAUCUUUAGCCGUGGCUGAAAAUCAGGGCCCCGAACUCUUUUUGUUUUGAAAAAGAAAGCUGUGCAAAGGGAUUGAGGAUCCCAGCUUUUGCUGCUAUAUUACUUGCUGCUUUUUUUUUGUUUUUUGCGAUACUAGACCCCUCACCACUGUUCUGAAUCAAUUGCAUUUGCUUGAACUGGCAAAGCCUUUUUUGAACAAAGCUGUCAAACUUCUGCUUCUAAUUAUGGAAUUGUAAAUUUGGUGUCUAUCUGGGGCAUAUAUGCUCCACAAAGGGGUAUUCUCCAGGGUUUUGGCAUGUUAGCAUGGGAUCUGCGAUUGUUUUCAAACACGAGGCUAUUAUUUCUACUGCUUUCUUGCAGUACUGUAGCACUGCAUCACAGAUUUUGCCAAUGACAAG
rnacentral:lncRNA from 1 species